rnacentral:rRNA from 1 species
GCGGAAGAUGUAACGGGGCUAAACCAUGCACCGAAGCUGCGGCAGCGACGCUGAUGCGUUGUUGGGUAGGGGAGCGUUCUGUAAGCCUGCGAAGGUGUGCUGUGAGGCAUGCUGGAGGUAUCAGAAGUGCGAAUGCUGACAUAAGUAACGAUAAAGCGGGUGAAAAGCCCGCUCGCCGGAAGACCAAGGGUUCCUGUCCAACGUUAAUCGGGGCAGGGUGAGUCGACCCCUAAGGCGAGGCCGAAAGGCGUAGUCAAUGGGAAACAGGUUAAUAUUCCUGUACUUGGUGUUACUGCGAAGGGGGGACGGAGAAGGCUAUGUUGGCCGGGCGACGGUUGUCCCGGUUUAAGCGUGUAGGCUGGUUUUCCAGGCAAAUCCGGAAAAUCAAGGCUGAGGCGUGAUGACGAGGCACUACGGUGCUGAAGCAACAAAUGCCCUGCUUCCAGGAAAAGCCUCUAAGCAUCAGGUAACAUCAAAUCGUACCCCAAACCGACACAGGUGGUCAGGUAGAGAAUACCAAGGCGCUUGAGAGAACUCGGGUGAAGGAACUAGGCAAAAUGGUGCCGUAACUUCGGGAGAAGGCACGCUGAUAUGUAGGUGAAGUCCCUCGCGGAUGGAGCUGAAAUCAGUCGAAGAUACCAGCUGGCUGCAACUGUUUAUUAAAAACACAGCACUGUGCAAACACGAAAGUGGACGUAUACGGUGUGACGCCUGCCCGGUGC